rnacentral:rRNA from 1 species
GACAGAGGGUGCAAACGUUGCUCGGAAUCACUGGGCGUAAAGGGCGUGUAGGCGGGUAGAUAAGUCGGGCGUGAAAUCCCUAGGCUCAACCUAGGAACUGCACUCGAAACUGUUUAUCUUGAGUGCCGGAGAGGAAAGCGGAAUUCCUGGUGUAGAGGUGAAAUUCGUAGAUAUCAGGAGGAACACCAGUGGCGAAGGCGGCUUUCUGGACG